GGGAAAAGCCAACUACCCCCCACAAGCCACCAUCAUAUCCCCCCUGCGAGUUCCUUCAAACUGUCUGACGGAGAUUCAUCCUCUGACCUUUGACCCGGAUGGAGAUGAGGUCGUGUGCAGGAAUGGCAGACCUCCUUACGAGUGUGACGACUGUAGUCUCCCUCCUUACUUUGAAUUCAGUUCGAACUGCAGUAUGUCAUACAAACCAAUAGACUAUGGAGGAGGAGAAAAGCUGUACGUGGUGCAGCUGAUGAUGGAGGAUCAUCCCAGAAGUGACAUCGUUCUGACCCAGAGCAACGGCACAGUGGAGCAGAGGAACACCACCGACCACAUCAGCUCUCUGCCCUUCCAGUUCGCUAUUGUGGCAUCUCCUGGUUUACCGUCCUGCAGUGAAGGGG
ensembl:lncRNA